AGCAGGCAAGCGCAAGGGUUGUAGAGGUCGCUGGCGACAGCGGCAGCCCGGAUGGGUGGGAUCCUCGAACUUGGGGCCUGCAUCAUU
rnacentral:sRNA from 12 species